AUCCAGCUGACGCGUCCCGAACAGGGCGAAACACGCGUCCUUUAU
rfam:Schistosoma rodhaini strain Burundi genome assembly, scaffold: SROB_scaffold0015396